rnacentral:rRNA from 1 species
AACGUAGGUUCCGAGCGUUAUCCGGAUUUACUGGGCGUAAAGCGCGUUCAGGCGGUUUGGCAAGUCGGGCAUGAAAUCUCUCGGCUCAACCGGGAGAGGUUGUCCGAUACUGCUGGACUGGAGGGCAGUAGAGGGUGGUGGAAUUCCGGGUGUAGUGGUGAAAUGCGUAGAGAUCCGGAGGAACACCAGUGGCGAAAGCGGAC